UCAUUUCCAAGAAAACAAAAAUACUCCUAGAAAAUGUUAGUUAAAUUCCCAUAAGGUACAUACAAGGCUCUUCUUCUUCCUUUAAUCUUUCAAGAGACUCCAUUUAAGAAACAAUAAAGAUAAAAAGAGUGAGUAGUCAUAUCACAAAAGUGCUUUUCCAAAACCCAUUUCAUAGAAGAUGAUGCAAGAGAAGAAGAAGAAGAACAAAAUGGAAAAAGCUAGGUAACGGUCUUCAGAACAAUGUCACCUGAGACUUGGCUUUCAUACAAGACAACAUGAUUUCUCUAACUAUCUUUUUUCUAAAAUUAUGUCAAACAAGCCAAAAGAAUAAAGGUACAAGUAGUUCUGCUGAGGUAGUUGUAGCUGAAAGUGGAUCUGGUGGGAGAUCAGAUCGUGAUUCAAGGAGAUGUCGAUUGGUGUAGCUUGGCUGAAGGGAUUUCAUAAAGCUUUUGUUUCAUGAACUGUAUAAGAUCUAGAUUUAGAUCUAAGUAAUCUUGUUCUUUGUAUGAUAAAGUUUUGUAAACUUUGAGACACGUUGUUAAACUUGUUGUUUUGUCAAGAAUCAGACUUGUUGCAAUAAAGUUCUACUAUUCAGAUU